UGGCUCAGGAUGAACGCUAGCUACAGGCUUAACACAUGCAAGUCGAGGGGCAGCAUCAUCAAAGCUUGCUUUGAUGGAUGGCGACCGGCGCACGGGUGAGUAACACGUAUCCAACCUGCCGACAACACUGGGAUAGCCUUUCGAAAGAAAGAUUAAUACCGGAUGGCAUAAUUUUCCCGCAUGGGAUAAUUAUUAAAGAAUUUCGGUUGUCGAUGGGGAUGCGUUCCAUUAGGCAGUUGGCGGGGUAACGGCCCACCAAACCAACGAUGGAUAGGGGUUCUGAGAGGAAGGCCCCCCACAUUGGAACUGAGACACGGUCCAAACUCCUACGGGAGGCAGCAGUGAGGAAUAUUGGUCAAUGGACGAGAGUCUGAACCAGCCAAGUAGCGUGAAGGAUGACUGCCCUAUGGGUUGUAAACUUCUUUUAUACGGGAAUAAAGUUAGCCACGUGUGGCUUUUUGUAUGUACCGUAUGAAUAAGGAUCGGCUAACUCCGUGCCAGCAGCCGCGGUAAUACGGAGGAUCCGAGCGUUAUCCGGAUUUAUUGGGUUUAAAGGGAGCGUAGGCGGGUUGUUAAGUCAGUUGUGAAAGUUUGCGGCUCAACCGUAAAAUUGCAGUUGAUACUGGCGACCUUGAGUGCAACAGAGGUAGGCGGAAUUCGUGGUGUAGCGGUGAAAUGCUUAGAUAUCACGAAGAACUCCGAUUGCGAAGGCAGCUUACUGGAUUGUAACUGACGCUGAUGCUCGAAAGUGUGGGUAUCAAACAGGAUUAGAUACCCUGGUAGUCCACACAGUAAACGAUGAAUACUCGCUGUUGGCGAUAUACGGCAAGCGGCCAAGCGAAAGCGUUAAGUAUUCCACCUGGGGAGUACGCCGGCAACGGUGAAACUCAAAGGAAUUGACGGGGGCCCGCACAAGCGGAGGAACAUGUGGUUUAAUUCGAUGAUACGCGAGGAACCUUACCCGGGCUUAAAUUGCAGAUGAAUUACGGUGAAAGCCGUAAGCCGCAAGGCAUCUGUGAAGGUGCUGCAUGGUUGUCGUCAGCUCGUGCCGUGAGGUGUCGGCUUAAGUGCCAUAACGAGCGCAACCCUUGUUGUCAGUUACUAACAGGUCAUGCUGAGGACUCUGACAAGACUGCCAUCGUAAGAUGUGGGGAAGGUGGGGAUGACGUCAAAUCAGCACGGCCCUUACGUCCGGGGCUACACACGUGUUACAAUGGGGGGUACAGAGGGCCGCUACCACGCGAGUGGAUGCCAAUCCCAAAAACCUCUCUCAGUUCGGACUGGAGUCUGCAACCCGACUCCACGAAGCUGGAUUCGCUAGUAAUCGCGCAUCAGCCACGGCGCGGUGAAUACGUUCCCGGGCCUUGUACACACCGCCCGUCAAGCCAUGGGAGCCGGGGGUACCUGAAGUGCGUAACCGCGAGGAGCGCCCUAGGGUA
rnacentral:rRNA from 1 species